CAGCCGCCGCGGGAAUACGUAGGUCCCGAGCGUUGUCCGGAUUUAUUGGGCGUAAAGCGAGCGCAGGCGGUUAGAUAAGUCUGAAGUUAAAGGCUGUGGCUUAACCAUAGUACGCUUUGGAAACUGUUUAACUUGAGUGCAAGAGGGGAGAGUGGAAUUCCAUGUGUAGCGGUGAAAUGCGUAGAUAUAUGGAGGAACACCGGUGGCGAAAGCGGCUCUCUGGCUUGUAACUGACGCUGAGGCUCGAAAGCGGGGGGAGCAAACAGGAUUAGAUACCCGUGUAGUCCCUGUCUCUUAUACA
rnacentral:rRNA from 1 species